rnacentral:tRNA from 1 species
GUCCUGCUGGCGCAAUGGUAGCGCGCCAGACUUCUAAUGCCGGGUCUGAAGAUAUCCUUCAUCAACGCGCUCGCACACAAGAUAUCUGGAGGUUGUGGGGUAAGAGCACUUGCUUAGCCAUAUCAAAACCUCCUCUAACUGGUUUGCAGUUCGAGUCCCACGCAGGAUG